AUUCUGACUGGACUGUAUACUGUAUGCCCAAGUUGUUUAAGUUCACCGAUGAUGUCCUCAAUGGGGAUUGAGUAACGGAUAUUACCAAGCACGACUCGGUAUGCCCUGUCCUGUUUCAUUUGAAGAGCAAGAGUCUUACCAAAUGACAGGUGCAUACUAGAGGCGAUAAAAGGCGUUAGAGGUUAUAAGCGUUUUCAGGCAACUAUUACUGUUGAUUCUUCCAUGCAUUGAUGAAAGUGAUGGCUUGGAUGAUGAUGAGGGGGGCAAGACUGUUGGAUCUGGAAAUUGAGAGUUUUAACUUAAUAAUGGGGGCAUUACUGUUGCAGGAAAGCAGACUGUUACGCGGGAAACAGACUGUCGGGAGCGACGGCGAGACCAGAGGAAGUGAGGGGUAUGGUGAACAAAGCGGCGUGGAGUAAGUAACAUUAUUUUAAAAUUAAUAAUACCAUCAGGAAUUAAGAACUCCGUUAGAUUUCUACCUGUUCCUGAUGUAAAAAGUUUAUCUGACUGAAGAACUGGAAGAUCCCUUCCGGGGGAUGAUAGCAGGGUUGGAAAAACGCUGGCUGUUAAAACGUCAAAAAUAAAAAAUAUAUUGUUAUUUAUUUUAAAACAGAAGAACCACCUUCGUAUUCCGGUAAGUGCCAGCGUUGGUGCCAGUUACUAUUGGGGGUACUGAGGUUAUGUCUGUUGGCGUUUCUGUUGUCUCGCUGUGUGCUCCCAAGGAUUGCAUUGGAAACUAUAAAUAAAUGGUGAUGGGAUUUAAAUAUUAUUUAUUUAUUUUCGCGAAAUGCUUAAUCCUAACGGCGGCGGCUAUAUUCUGUACACUGGAUAGCUAGAAAUACAGCACCAUGAAAACCUAAUUCAUAACAUUAAUUUUAAAUGGAACGGUUUUAACACUAGCAAUAUAAAUACAUGCAUUCAUUUCUUACACUACGGAAAAUUACAUUCUAGGUCAGUGCGUUCACAUGUUAUGCGCCAAAUGCACCACGAUUUUAGAAACAAAGUGCCUCAAAUCCGCUUCUCUUAACUUUCCAACGUCGAGAACUUCACAGUGAUUGGCUUCAUCACCGCAAUCAUAGUCGGUGAUGCACAUGUUGGUGAUCAGACUAAACGCAAAAACGGACAUGUUGCAAUGCCUCGCCGUAAUAACUUCAUGAACUGUCGACAUACCAACCGCAUCGACUCCCAGCAUACCCAACAUUUUUAGUUCAGCAACCGUUUCAAAACUAGGUCCACCGAGACAAGUGUAAACACCGUCGUGCACCAAAUCGCCAAGUCCUUCCAACG